UUAUCCUAUAUUUAUUUCAGAUCUAAGUCUCUAGAUCUAAUCUUCAUAUCUGAUAUUAAGUCUAAAAUAAAUCUAAAAGGGAUGAGAAAAUAAGUAAUACCUCAAGGGUAAUCUGAUUACCCUGUAGAUGAUCUCAGCACAGCCCGAGGUUCUGAUGUAGCCACGCAAGCACCUGGUCUCUACCAGUAUCCACUCAGACAGGACCUGAAACAUCUUCUCCUCAUGAAUCUACACU
rnacentral:lncRNA from 1 species